rnacentral:rRNA from 1 species
UACGUAGGGUCCGAGCGUUGUCCGGAAUUAUUGGGCGUAAAGGGCUCGUAGGCGGUCUGUUGCGUCGGGGAGUGAAAUCUUACAGCUUAACUGUGAACUUGCUUUCGAUACGGGCAGACUAGAGGUAUGCAGGGGAGAAUGGAAUUCCUGGUGUAGCGGUGAAAUGCGCAGAUAUCAGGAGGAACACCAACGGCGAAGGCAGCUCGCUAGGACGGUACUGACGCUAAGGCGCGAAAGCGUGGGGAGCGAACAGG